rnacentral:rRNA from 1 species
AAAGACUUGACGGUACCUCACAACACCCUAGAGGAGCCUGUCUAAUAACCGAUACUCCACGAUCAACCCAACCCCCACUUGCCCAACAGUCUAUAUACCGCCGUCGCCAGCCUACCUUGUGAAAGAAACAAAGUAAGCAAAAUAGCCACACGCUAAAACGACAGGUCGAGGUGUAACUUAUGUGAGGGACAAAGAUGGGCUACAUUUUCUUAACACAGAAAAUACGAAUAAACUAUGAAAAAGAAACUGAAGGCGGAUUUAGCAGUAUACAGAGAACAUAAUACUCA